GUGCGUCACGCGGCCAUCUUGGAGCCGGGCAGCGCGCCCGUUCUGGAACCUGAGCAGCUCCGUGGUUACUGUUCAAGGUGGGUCUUUGGAAGGUCUGUGUCAGAGCUUGACAGCAGGCACCUGAGUGUUUGACAUUUGCUGCUGGACCAUGGGCUGCAGCGAUGCCCCGCGGCGGGGGCUCCGGACGCGCCGAGGUCAGGCCCAGGAGAGGAGCUGUGACGUGGGCACCCCUGCGAAGCCUGGGCUCCCUGGUGACCCUCUCUGAUCUCGCCCCCCGCCGUCUGUGCCAUGGUGUGGAUGGCGCUCCCCCGGGGCAGGUCUGCCCCAGGACGCCGCGCCGCGUCUGGACACGUUUCGGGUUGUCAUGACCGGGGUGCUCCUGGCGUCUGGUGGGUGCAGGCCUGGGGUGCCGCUCAACACCCACGCGCCCAGGGCGGCCCCACCACUGUCCUCUCGGCAGGGCAUUCGGUUGUCAGGGCCUCUUUUUCAACUGCAUUCCCAACUCAUCCGAG
rnacentral:lncRNA from 1 species